GAAUGCACUGUGUGUUUGUGUGUGUGUGUGUGUGUGUGUGUGUGUGUGUGUGUGUGUGUGUGUGUGUGUGUGUGUGUGUGUGUGUGUGUGUGUGUGUGUGUGUGUGUGUGUGUUGAGGUCGGAGCUCAGACUGCCCUCUUCUAGACGGGCAGGUACGGUGGCUGCUCCGUGGGCACAUGCCAAAGAGCACGGGCAUAUGUGGAUGUUUGCACAUCUCAGACCCUGGGGAUUCCUUGAGCUUUAAUCCACUCAGGAAGUAUUUGUGAGAUUAGAUGCAGACACAACAGUCACAGUGUGGCAAUCGCCAUGGCCUGCUUCAGGUCACUCUGUGGCCGGCCAGAGAGCACUUGUGUGCAGGAUGCUUCGCUUCAAAUUCUGCAAACUCGCUACUGUUACGCUGGCCGAGUACCGUCAGCGGAAAGCCCAUGCUGACGGACAGAAGAAACAGAAGAAGAAGAAGAAGAAGAAGGGGGCGGAGGAGCCCUCCGUGAGGGAUGAAGGGGCUGAUUUAGAGCCUUCGGGUGGGGAGGACGUGGGGGGAGGUGAGACCAGAGAACCCCCCCAGACGGAGUUCACCUUCGCUCGCACCCUCCGCAGAGGCGAAACCGUCAAACACGACCAGACCUAUACCAUAGAGGUGAGUGGAUCUAAUCAUGUUCAGCAUUAUAUACUAAAUAAUCCGAUUUUAUAAUAAUAUAGUGUAGUAUAUAUACUAUAUGUAUUCUGUGUGUGUGUGUGUGUGUGUUUGUAAUAUAAUAUAUGUAGUAUAUAUGUAUAUACUGUGUAUAUAUAGUAUAUAUAGUUUAUGUGUAAUAAGUCAGGCACAGAAUAUAUGACCCCAUCAGUGGUGGGUGUUAUAGCAUGUAGUGGGGUGGAAGUGGACCUGAUCAGUUCCAUCUGGGUUACUAAUAGAGUACUGCCAGCAGGUGCGGAGUGUUCUCUCCGCCGUCUGCAGCUUAGUGCUCUCGCCGGGGCUUUUCUGCUGUGAUUGCCUCCGAAGUUUGCAAAGCAGGUGGCUAGUGUGUGCUCACAUUGGCUGGGGGGAAAUGAACGCUGUGUUAAUAAAAAGGGAAUAUUACAAUCGCA
rnacentral:lncRNA from 1 species